GGUUGAUCUGAACGUAGUGAGUUAUCUCUCUUGAUUGUUCAUAGUCAGUUACAAAUUGAACUCCUUAUUCUACUCUUUGCCCCCUUCUCACUUCAGCACUUGACUAGUCUUUA
ensembl:misc_RNA Y_RNA Y RNA